rnacentral:lncRNA from 1 species
CAGGCUACAUACUAUACUGGCAGACUACAUACUAUACUGGCAGACUACAGGCUACAUAGUAUAUUGGCAGACUACAGAUGACAUACUGUACUGGCAGACUACAUACAUACUGGCGGACUACAUACUAUACUGGCAGACUACAGGCUACAUACUAUACUGGCCGACUACAGACGACAUUCUAUACUGGCAGACUACAGGCUACAUACUACACUGGCAGACUAUAUACUGUACUGGCAGACUACAGACUAUACUGGCAGACUGCAGGCUACAUACUAUACUGGCAGACUACAAGCUUCAUACUAUACUGGCAGACUACAGACUAUACUGGCAGACUAUAUACUAUACUGGCAGACUACAGGCUACAUACUAUAUUGGCAGACUAUAUACUGUACUGGCAGACUACAGACUAUACUGGCAGACUGCAGGCUACAUACUAUACUGGCAGACUACAAGCUACAUAAUAUACUGGCAGACUAUAUACUAUACUGGCAGACUACAGACUAUACUGGCAGACUAUAUACUAUACUGGCAGACUACAGGCUACAUACUAUACUGGCAGACUAUAUACUAUACUGGCAGACUACAGGCUACAUACUAUAUUGGCAGACUAUAUACUAUACUGGCAGACUACAGGCUACAUACUACACUGGCAGACUAUAUACUAUACUGGCAGACUACAGGCUACAUACUAUAUUGGCAGACUAUAUACUAUACUGGCAGACUACAG